UACGGAGGGUGCGAGCGUUGUCCGGAAUCACUGGACGUAAAGGGCGCGUAGGCGGCGCGGGUAGUCAUCGGUGAAAGUUCAGGGCUCAACUCUGAAUCGGCCGGUGAUACUCCCGUGCUCGAGCACUGUAGAGGCAGGUGGAAUUCCGGGUGUAGCGGUGGAAUGCGUAGAGAUCCGGAAGAACACCGGUGGCGAAGGCGGCCUGCUGGGCAGUAGCUGACGCUGAUGCGCGACAGCGUGGGGAGCGAACAGG
rnacentral:rRNA from 1 species